rnacentral:lncRNA from 1 species
AAAGUAAAGAGUAAGCAAGGCAGCUCCUCUGGACAAGUGGACUCUUGAAAUGAAACAUGAAAGCAGAGUUGUGUGACUUACCCAAAUUCCAUGCUGUGGUCUAAGGCAGCUGUCCGCCCUGGGAGCAUCUGCUUUCCAGACCACGAGGAAGGGCUGGCUGGGUCCUGCUGGAAGCUGGAGUUGGUAUUUCCAGUUGGUAGCUCUCUGCUGGGAAGAGCAGCCCUCCUGGCAGAGCAGGAAGGCUACUUGCCUCUGGGCUAGAGCAGGAAAUCACCUGGCUUCUGCCCAGCUGUUGGAACAGGAGCAAGGAGAGAAGUCUGAUGUGUGCCUUUUGUGGUUCUGGGUGCUAGAGAGGAGCUGCUUCUCCUGUGGUCUCUGGCCUUUUCUGGGUUUCCUCUGUGAUAAAACUGUCUCAACAGGAGUAGAAAAAAAGAUCUUUGAUAGAACAGAGGUAUAAAAUACUCAACCCUAAAACUGCCAGUGUCCUGAAAAAAUGCCUCGGAUUUUAUUAUAUUUCAUUAGUGACUUGAUUGUUGACUGGUUAGCCACUUGGUAAACCUCCUAAUAAAAAGAACAGACACUUCUGUUGGCUUUACACCCUAUUAUGUCCCUGUUCACGUUCCGUUAUUGCAUUCUGAUUCUGUUUUAAAAUAGCCAGUUGGAGAAAACAAAUGUGGUAAAGUCUAAUUUAAAGGUGUUAGCGAAAGCUGGCUCUCACUGAUAAAAGGGUCAGCCAGGCUUCGACAGUUCUUUAUUAUAAUCCACUACCCACUGUGAUUUAUCCUCUCUGAAUAUUACUCUCCUGUUAUACUUGCUAUCAUCUAUGUGCGGAUGAUAGCUUAAUACCUGCAAAUGACCUAAAUAUGAUGAACAGCAAGCCAAAAAAUGUCUAAAAGUGUAUCUCUGCGAGAAGACCAGAGCAAUACUGGCAAACUUGUUUUUCUUAGGACAAGUGUGAACAAGUGUUGGAUGUAAAGAAAAAAAUCUGGAUUUUUUUUUUUUCUCCCUUGCUGCAGGGGCACAAUUCUCCUUUCUGUUUGCAGUCAUCUAGGCAAGCUUAGGUGCGCUGAGCGGUAGGGCCUAUUUCCUCAUGCACUGUGUGCUGCGCUGCAUCCAAAGCAACGCACAGCUUCCAGCUGGGAGCCAGCAAGCUGAGGUCUGCCUGUACCUGCCUGCAUAGAGAUCCUUAAAAGAAAGCAGAUGCACCCAUUUUCUCUUUAUUACUGCAUUGCACCAGAGGCAAAUGCUCUAAUUAAAAUUUGCAGUUAGCAGCAGUUUGAUAUUCCCGCUGUACAUUUUGGUCAUGUUAAGACUUCUUCACAGUGGUGGAGGUGUGCAGCAGAGCCAUGAAGGAGCUGAAUGGCACAAACUCAGGUGCUUGGCAUAACUGUGUGGCAGCCCGACCUUCAUAGGUGCUGUUGAGACAUUACCUAUGACUCCUGGUGCAAGGAAAAUAGCUAAAGAGCUUAAGAGAAAAUGUGACUAACACUAUUUUGUGGAGAAGUAAAGAUCUGGCUUGUCUUGCAGUGGGUGCGAGUCACAUCCUGCUCUCUACUAGGAAAAGGUGCUUGGCCAAGCUCAAAACAGCCCUGCUGCUGCCUGUUCCCCAGUGCGUUCUGCAUCAGACUGAUCUGGUGGAAAAAGCUGUAAAUGCAUGUGGCAUGGAUGGUAAAGUUAAGAAAUAGAUAUUUUGAUGAAGACACUAGAGGAUGGUAUUGUAUGGAUGAUACCAUUUCACAGUUAGAGAAACAGAAACUUGAAAGAAAUGGUUUUUACCUUCUCUGUCUUUGUGUUCAUUUGCUUUGGCUAUCCUGGUAGCUACUUAUAUGCCAGGCCAUACCAUACUGUCUUCUAGUUGCUUUUUUUUUUGAGCUGGAAGGCUGAAAACAUCUUCCCCACAAGUGUUUGUUUGCUGUCCUGUCCUGGGUUGUUUCCAUCACUGUCUUUAGGCCAAAGAAGAACACUACAUUAAUCUCCUUUCUGGAACUGUUGGACUCAAUUGUAUAGGAAAUACACGCCACAUCCUGGCGUGUCUACCUUUUCAUAUAUAUAAUACUCUUUUUUCUUGUGGCAAGGCUGGUGGGCAAGUCUGAACAUGGCCUCUCUUCUGGACACCGCAUUGCUGCCUUUGUGUGGGUAGGAGGAACAGAGUGGGAUCCCUGCUGAGCCCCUACUUCCCCUUGCACUGCGCUUGACCUGAAGUGAGAAACUGAUAUGACAUCAUUGUGGGUGUUCCCAGUAUUUUCUUCUUCAAGUAUUAAAUUUGAGGAAAAAAUAAUAAAUAUUUUCUUUUUAAAAGGAAAGAGAAAGCCCAAGAGGAUCUUGGCUGGCUUUGCAUGCCCUAUAGGUACAUUUCAUUGUUUUUGAUGAGCGAAGUACUGUCCUCCUGUUUACCUCUCUCAAAGGAAGUGUCUGUUGACACAGUCUGUGUUUCAGUUAUCUUUAUUAUACAAUGCUCUGUGAAGCCUUCAGGGCAAGCCAAGCCAGCCAUAAAGGCAGCUCCUUAGUCACAAAGACAGAAGGCUCUAGCCAGACACCCACAGCUUGCAUUGUUAGAUGCACUCAGAUCUCUGCACUGAUAAUGUGGGACCUUGCAGCAGCCCAUACUGCCUUUGUUGGAUGGAGAUUGGCAUAGAAGUGUCCUAGAGGUGCUUGUUCUCCCUUCUCCUGGCUCGAUUUUCCCUCUCUCCUUCCAUCCCCCAUGCUUUCUGCACUUCUUUCUGAAGAAUUUUGCAUGUCAGGGCUGAACAUUUGUGGGCAAGAAUACACUGGAUGAUUUGAGCAAAGCUAUGGCAGUGUAAUGCAUUAUUCUGUGCUCUUGUCAGUCCUGUGAAGUCAGAGAGCUAGCCUUGGUUUGCAUCAAUGUGAUGUUUUCCUUUAUUUCUUAAUAAUAAGUUAUGGGUAAAUGCAAAAAAAAAAAAAAAAAAAAAAAAAAUCACACAGUCAGCACAGUACUGUGGUCUUUGGUUCCUGAGCACUGAGAGUACUUGGAGCCUGACCAGCAUUGGUGCCUCUUCGAGUCAUCUCUCCAUCUGCGUGGCUCCCUGACAGCCCUGAGGUGCUGUGCUCCCAUGCCUCUCAGAGCAGGAAAGGCUUUAAACUGUCUUGAGAUAGUCAGAAGGCUAACUUGCUGAGGAGUUCCACAGUCCCAACACGGAGCUUUGCUUUAGCCUCAGCUGCUUGCACCCUAAGAUAGUUACAUUCUCAGUUAAAAGCCUGGGAAAAGUAGAGGUGGUGAAGAAACAAGGUACAUGUGACCCAGUUGUCAAGUGCAAGGCGCUUCUUGUGGGGCAUGGGGAGCUGCCUAGCAGCUAAUUAUUUUAAUUGAUGUUUGAAUACUUUGCAGGUUCAUGCAUUAGUGAUGAAAGCAGCUUAUGCCUUCAUACAACCAAAGAUUUUAAGGGCCAAAUUCACUGUGAAUAUAAAGAGUACUGCAAAUUAUAUGUUAGAGCCCAAUUGUUCCCCUGCAGGCUAUAAAUAACUCCUAUUUUAUGUCACUGGGGGUUAUUUUUCUCCUGUGGGAGAGUCUGUAGUCUGUGGUAUAGCUGACCAGGAAAUGGUCGUUAGUGAUAAAGCAGUGUAAUUUGCGUUGAUUUAUUAUUCAUUGGCUGUACAGAAUAAGCGCAGCGUACCCGGUGAGAGGAAUUGUCAUCAAAUUCUUCUGUCACUUAAACAAAUGUCCCUGCUGAGUUUAACUGAGAUAUGCUAUUGUAACAGAGUAGAGUUUAUCACACACCUUCCAGCUAUGAAAUCUUCAGUAAGAGCUGACUCCAUGUUGAAUUUUGCUCUGUGUAAAAAGGAUUGAUGUUAAUUUACGAAGUAGAUUUAUGUGAAGAAAAAUAAAGUGCAUUUCACUGAAUUUGUCCAAAUUCCUUGCCAUCUAAUAAAAUGUGCAUCCUUCUUGAGAACUGCUAGUGCUUGUGUCUGCUAUCCUGCAUCUGAAAUAAUAGAUUUUCCUUGGCUACAGAGAGGAUGAAUUUGUGUUUGGUGUGAACAAAUUUAGUUGAAAGGUCAUCCUGGUAAGAUUUUCUUCUGAAAGGCUUUAAGAGGUAUGUUAUGACUGACAUAAGCAUGGUAUUAUCAAUCUACUUUGGUGUUGCAGCUUGUGGAAGAAAAUGACUUGAUAAAGACUGCUUGCGGGGUUGCUGUCUGUCUCCCUCUCGCACCUCACCUUCCUGUAAGUUAGCUUUCUGUUUCUGGUGGUUGUGGAAGGAAAUCUGGAAACUGUCAUCUGAAAUCCACCAGCCUAUAUCAAAACAUGAAUCAAAUGCUUCAAAGUAAAAAAAACAAACAAACGAAAAACAAACAGAAAGCACCAAGUUGCUGGGCACUGUGUUGUACUGACUGCUCUCCAGUUCUAAGGUGGUUUUGAUAACUAAAAGACCAAUGGUGACGCAGGAGGGAGAGCAAUGCUGAAGUAACUCCUCAGAGACUUUCUAAUGAUUCAUUUUGCUUUGUGCAUUGGCUAAGCAUCAGCCUCCCUCAAGGAGUCCUGGCUGUGAUCUGAUGCCUAGUAAAUGUUGUAUGUGCUGCCUUUGGCUGUUAUUGCUCACAGUCUGUGAUGAACUUGUGGAAAGGAGUACUAUAGCUAUAAAUUGCUCUUUUAUGGACUGGUUUAUCUGGCAAAAUCUGAAUAAAAUAAUAAACUUAAAACUUCAGUAUUCUCCAAAAGGCACAUGUCCUGUCAAUUUAAAGCUGAACUGCUUUGCAGCAUAUUCUUUCACAUUUUUGUUAAAGGUUAACAAAAUUGUUUGGACAGCUCUGGUGGCUGUUCAUCAGUCUGUUGUAACCAGCUGAUUAAUGUGACUGAUUUCUGCAGCAAGUUUCUCUAAUCACUUCUUAUUUACAAAUCACAGGAUGGUUUUGUUUAAAGCAGCUAUGCUGAGUUUUCAUCCAUCUUAAAAGUUCAUUCCUUGAGUGAAGUAAGUUUAGGAAACACAAAUGUAAUGAACCUCCGUGACACAGAGUACACCAUAAAAGAAGAGGUCAUAUGCAGAGUCUCUGGUCAUGUUAAUCACUCUUGUCAUCUCCCAUAGCCAAAGUAAGAGAAUAAAUUUUUCUUGAAGAGGGUGGGUAUCAGUGUGUAUGUAGGCAAAUAAGAGAUAAACCUCUACUCUGAAGCCUGCAAGGAAACAUGUUUGGAAUCCAGGUGACCAUGGAUUUCCAUUAUCCAAAGCAAUUGACUGACAACUGAACUAAUAAUUUGAAAUAAUUUACAGGAUUGGUUUUUUUUAUUAUUAUUAUUAUUUUAUUUUUAUUUUUUUGGAACUUACCUAGACCUCAUAGGCUUACUUGACUGGGAAAUAUGGGGAGUUCCUCCUUUAUAAUGAAGUUAAAAUGAUGUAAUCCUUUUUUAGAAGGAGUUACGCAAUGAACUAUUGUUCUUGCUGUGUUAUACCAUACCUCUUUACAAAGUGCAAAUGCUGAAUCCUUCUCUGUGUUUUUUUCUAUUGGUAAAUAUUCUGUUAGCACACAAACUGUUUCAAAUGGUAAAUGUAAGAAAUAUGCCUCAGCUCUUUCUUAGUCACUUUCAGCAUGCCAUGAAGGAUUUUUCUUGCUGUAAGGAACUCAAUUUGACAGCUGUACACAGGUAUUGAGAUGGAGCAUGGGUAAAGUUUAUACAAUUUAUAGGCCAUAGAACUGCAGCAUGGCAGAAAGUGAGUCUCCAAGAUUUUAAAUUGUCAGUUGGUCUAUUAUGUAAGAUGUCAGGAGACAUUGUGGCAUAUCAGGCCAGCUUGAUUGGAAAUAAAUCAUUUAAAUGAUUAUUUGAAUAUCUGAUACAGUAUUUAAUGACCACUGAUAAUCAGUUAGUCAUCCACAACAAGUAACAGUGUGACUUUUUUUUUUUACUUUCUGGAGUCAAGACUCAAACGCAUGCUAAAUAAGUUUAUAGACAACUCUAAACUGGGAGGAGAUGAUGACUCCUUUGGGGAUAGAGAGGCUGGAUUCUGCACCUGGAGCCAGACAGCCCUGAAUAUAUGUACUGGCUGGGGGCCAAAAGGCUGGAGAGCAGUCCCAGAGAAAGGGACCUUGGAGUUCUGAUUCAUGGCAAGUUGAAUCUGAAUCAGCAGUGUGCCCUGUUAGCCGAAAGGGAGAGGAGACAGAGCAGCAAGGCAGCCAUCUGCCCAGAUGAGUGUGGGUGAAAAAGAGGAGCUUCCUGACAUAUGAGGGAACAACACUCCUCGUAGAGACUAAGUGGAAUGGGUGCAGCAAGAGGCAUUAUGUCAUGAGAAUCAUUGACAACACUCAUGUGUUCAGCCCAUGAGCAAAUAUGAAAAAGGGAACAAGGUGAGGCACAGUGGUGUGUAUCAGCCAAUGAACAGUGUAGGGUAUAGGCAUGCCCACUGUUCAAAAGAUGGCAUGGAGGCAAGUUAUUUCCACUAUCCCAUGAGAGGCAAGAGGCCAAGUCAUGACCACCAUGAAGAUAAUGCUCCACAGUCACUGCUCAGUCCACCUGUGAUCACCAUGAGGCUCAGUGCUGUCUCCCAGUGAGAAAAUGAGAUGAGACACUGAUCUGCCAUCUGGGAAUUAAUGCUGAGGGGCCCGUGGAGGUGCAUACUCCAGCAUAUGCCUUGACACCCAGCAGUAUGCACUGGGGAGGAAAAGGCAUGGGACUAUUGAUCCCCCAUCUGGCAGUGGACAUCGUGGAGCCCAUGGAAGUGCAUCCUUCACAAAACACCAGGAGGCCCAGGCAUGCCAGACAUCUGAAGAACAAGGGGAGGUACAAACAUGGCCACUGAUCUGAGGUUGGUUCUCAAAAAAAAAAGUAGUUCUUAAGCAAAAAUCAACUUUGUUUUAAAAUGAUUUAAUAGGCUACUUCUAUUGUACCUGGAGUUUGUAUAAUUUUUGUUGGCAGUCAUCUGCUCCCCAUCACUUUGGGCCCCCCUCCCUCUCUUAUCCCCUAUGUUUUUUAACAGCUUGUCUGUGCUUUUUGUGCUUUUCCUCUUUCUUUGAAGAAGUCCAUCCGGAUAUGCAGAUCUCUUCUCAGCUCCGCUUUGCCAUGAUUUUACCAUUAUAUAUGCUUCCCAUAACACUGGAGGGAGGUUUGGGCUGUAUUUCUACUCCAUUCAAUGAUCCACUCAAGGAAGAACAUUCAUGGAUCUAUUCAAGGAAAGACUACUUCUUAAUGCAUAGCCUAGAUCACUGUGUGGGGUAUUAGUCUUUGAUACUGAGUCUAUUACAGCAGCUGAAUAUGCUAAGAAAUUAUAGGAAGAGAUCUGUAGCUGCUCAUACAAUAUUCCUACCAUGUCCUGAGUGUGUAGAAAAUGGAGGAGGUAAAAGAUACGAUAAAGAGUAAUGGAAGGACAGCAAGAAAAAAAGAAACUGGUAGACAUUACAUGGACAGUAAUCAGUUCAGCUGGACAGUUAAUAAAAGGUUUGUGCAUCGCCCAACAGGGCAAUUGGUUGUGGUUAGUUAUGAACAAGGAAAAAUGUUGUGCUUAAAUACCAGGUUUGUAUUUAAAUACCAGGUUGAUAGGGUGGAAGAAUCCAAAAUAGUCAUUAAAACAAAUAUUGUAGAGGAAAACAGACACAUAGCAGAAUAGUAGUCUUGUUGGAAGAGUAGCACUGAGUGAGUUGCUGUGUUCAGGAAGAACAGAAAUAUAAGGUAACUGAUUGUGUGUGUGUGAACAAAAAAAAAAAGAUCAUUAAAAAAAAGCCAAACAAAAAACAACAAAAAACCUUAAAAAUCCUCCAAAAAAUAAAAAAAGGACUUCCUGAAUAAAAGAAUGUAUAGGUUUUAACAACUAGUGACGUGGUCAUAGAAGAGCUAGUCAUGGGGAGUAACUUCAGACCAAGUGAGCAGAAUUGACUGAAGUAAAAUGAAGGGAAGAUUAGAAAUAUGUUCAUAAUUAAAAGUUGCCUUUGAAAGAUAGCAAACUUGAAUUAUGUGUGUUGGCAUAUUGGCUGCACUGGAGAGUUCAGGGAUCUGGUUAGUGCAGAAAUUUGGAGUUUCUGUGAGUUCUCCAGCAGGCUGGAUUCUCAGUCCCAAAGAAGGAAAAAAAAUUAUCAGGACAGGGUGAAAGUUGGACUCGCCAAAAUGCAGACUCAAUGACAAUUUGCAAGUAAUGUUUAAACACACAGAAAAAGGACACACAUUCAGCCACAUAAAUUUCAAACAGCAGGAGGGCUACUAUGCAGUGUAGUAGCUUGUGGAGGGAUAGUGCUUUUGGAGGGAUCAAGCAUAAUUUUGAUGUGGAAUCAGUGUAAAAAAUACCUGAACUCCCCCAUCUCAUUCCCCUCCCCGCCCCCCACCUCCCACAAACAGACUAACCCAAGCAAUGGCAAACACCCAAAAUGACCAUCAGGAAGGAAGGAUGAAUCUGAUUGUAGAAGAAGCAAAGCUUCGGUAACUCGGUGUUCCUCUAUUAUAUAGGUAUUGGUAGUCUUUAUAACUGCUCACUUGAAAACCGAAGGUAUGACAGCAAGCAUUUUUCAGAAAUCUUUCAACAUCUGUUGUUCAGCUUUGGACUGAAUGAUUUAUGCUUGAUUGUGUCAGCUACCUGGAACUGGAAUAGUUCUGUGUUGUCACACUUCUUGGUGGUGUGGUUUCUUGAGGAUCACUGUAUCAAUUUAGGAAGGUUCUAAAAAUAUAAAACUGAAAAAUGUUAAAAAGGGGGAUGUAAAAAGAGCUUUAUAUGUAGUGCCACGUUAGGAAAUCAUUUGAGAUUCAUUUAGGGGUUUUCUGAUUGAACAGAGAAGGGAGGAUGAAUUCAUCAGUUGUACCUUUUGUGCCCUGAUAUAAGGCAGCGGUAUUUUUUAGAGACUCAAGGGAAGAAUGCUGUCAGACUGGUUUCAGUGAAGUACUGAGUGAGAGAUUUAAGCUGCUGAGAAAAAAUUGGGUUAAAAGGGAGCAGAUGGAUGUGGUACUCUGAAGAAGGGAAGGAAAUGACACAAGUGAUCUUGAAUCUUCUGUUCUGUAAACGUUGAAAUCCCAUUGCUGGCAUCAGUGGAAGGGAGAGAAGGAAGUUUUGGAGGGAGUGUGCUCAGUUAGGAAAGCAUGAUAAUUUAUGUUGGUGACAAGCUAUGAAACUUGAAAAUUUGGGGACAAAAUAAGGCAUGUAUAGGGGGCGAAGGAGAUGACUUAGAAGAAGAAGAGACUUUUGAUGACGUGUUCUCAUGAACUCUUGAUCUGAUACUAGACUGCUAGCCAGAGUGGCUGUAGAUCCUGCUUGUACCUUACCACACAUUCCUGCCAUCACCUUCGUGUUGGAUUACUGUGGGCUGCUUUGGCAGUCAGAAAAUUGCAUCUGUACCAUCUGUGCAGACUGAGUUGCACUGAGAUCAUGAGCUACAGGGAUCAUCCAAACAUGUUGAACUAAGAAGCAUGUGUCACAGCUUUCAGAAGCACCCACUGAUACUGUGGGCCAUACAGAACAAAGAACAAUGUCAGGAAAAAUAAUGACUUAAUGAUUUGAAAUAAUGACAUAAUGAUUUGAAAGCUCAGUGAGGAUGAGACAUCAGAGCAAGGAUGAUGAUAAGCAGUGUCAAAAGAACCAGACAGGCCAUGCUGGAGGAAGGUAGAGGAAGGUCCUUGGUAUUUGCUUGAGAAGAGAGAAUGAAUGACUGUAGUGAGCAGUUUCAUUCAAUGUGAAAUGGCAGAAGCUUGGCUGGAUGUGAUACAGGGUGAAGGCGGAAGAGAGAAAGUGAGUGCACUAGCUUUAUCCUGAGUUUAUAGAUAAGGGAAAAAAAGAGGAGAAUAGAGUAAUUGUUCAAAUAUGUAGGGGUAUGGUCUUGUGGACAGUGGAAAGGAAGUUGGAGUGAGAAGACAGGGGUAAGAGACUGAAUUUAGUUGAAACAGAAAUGUGCAGCUGAAGGUGAAUGGAAGAGAUUAAAGAAUUACAGACGAAUAAAGGUAAACGGUCCAUAGGCUCUGCAGGGGGACGUAUUAGCACGCGGUUCUUUUUGUAGGAAUUAGUGAAGAGCAGUGAGAGAAUUCUGUUGCAAAAAUAGAUGGCUUCACACUUAAUGAAAAAGAAGUGAGCCAAAUCAGCUUGUUCUAAAGUUAGUUCAAAGUGAUUUGAAGCAGCAGCAUGCUACUGCUUUCCCUUCUCUCUUUGUAUGUACAGCAGGCAGCAGGGCACUGUGCCGACAUGUGCUGGUGUUAUGGUGUCUGCUGCAGAUGAAGAACAAGCUCUGAGAUGAGAGUGAUGCAUCCAGGCUUCUUGGGCAAUGCACCCUAAUUGUCUGGCUCUGGUCCAGCUGCCGACUGACCCAAUAAACUCUAAUGAAUCUGGAUUCCUGCAGUCUGAUUUGCUUCCUCUCUACACGAUGUGCCUUUCUCAGCCCAUGAGGAGCUGAAACCUGAGUGCUGGCUUCGACAAAGAGAGUGAGAGAGGAGGGAAGGAGGGGAAGAAAAGGCAGAUAACAGACGAAUGCAAUCAGUGUUUUAUUACCAUCCUCAGGAAGUGGGAAUGACUUUAAAAAAAAAAAAAGAAAAAGAAAAAAAAAGUAGUAGGAUGGAGCAAGGAAAGUUAAUUAUGGUGAGGUUAUUUGACAGGAAAUUACAAAAUACAAACAGACAGAAGAAACACAUUUUAAAACAGGGUAGGAAAUCUCAAGUUACUUCACUGUGUAUAUUCAAAACCCCCCAAAGCAAAGGCUGAAAAUAACAGUUUAAACAAAAGCUAUCUUAUCUGAUACAGGCAUUUCAAGCACAAAAGGAAAUUUAUAUGUGGGGUUGACAGUCUUAAAAUAAACUGAUUGUCUUGAUAACUCCAUGGAUUUAAUUGUGGGAAAAAUUGGGUUCAUUUGUAUGACCUGCAGAUGCAGUAAAUUCCCGUGUAAAUUCAUUGCUUUUCUUUCUUUGUGCAUUUCUUGUCUUCUAAGUAAUGUUUAUCAGUGUUUUCCAGAAAUUGUAUAGGUAGAUUUAUGCAUGUAGGGCAAGACUGAUAAAUAUGUGCAUAUUUUAAAGACUUCCAUGCAGACCAGAUACAAUUCAUUUCCUAUGCUACUGUAUGGAAGCAUAUUAAUGGUACUUCAGCAAGUUAACCAGAUUCAGAAGGAUUUGGGCAGUAAUAUGCCACUUUAGGAUGAGGGUAGAAUUUCCAAUACUGGUGAUCGGAAUUAUUUUAUUCAUAUCAUUGAUAGUAUGCUUACAAUACACUCUUGAAUAUUUGCUUUAUCUUUCACUUUCUGUGAGGAAAGGAAACUAUUCUGCUACCAUGGCACCCAUAUCUUGAGUCAAUAAGCCAUUUAUGAGUGCAAGGAGAGCAGAAAUUUCAUGCUAACACAGUUGUUUUGUAGCCUUGUGAUAGGCACUGAAGUUUCAAAGAGCAUGAAAUGUGGACUGUCACUGUGUCUUUUGUAGUGAGCAAUAAUCUCAAAAAAAAAAAAAAAAAAAAAAAAAAAAAAGAUGCCGAGAUGCUGAUUUCUUGUUUUGUUCUGUAUCAACUGCUCAAUUUCCAGUAUCUUCCUAAGCAUUUUUCUCAGAAACUUAUCUCUGAGAUAUUGAAUUAUCAUUGCAUCUGUAUAGAUAUCUGUGGCCUUGCAGUGAGAUAGGUUAUACAUUAUAGGGACUAUACAAUUUGAUUUGCUUGGAGGGAGGGAGCAAGGCAAAUAGAAGAUAUAACCCAGCUGUGUAGAUGAUAUAUUAGGUAAUUUCUAAGAUCAGAGUAGACUUAGAAUUCAGUGGGACAAACAUCUUGCUUGCUUUUGACUCAAAUAGUAACAAAGGCAAGCAAGAGGGAUGAAUGGCUUAUAGAUACACCUACUUGGCUGCUGUGACUUUACACUUCAUCUGCGUUCCUCUCUUCUUCUUGCUUGUCAGGCUGCAUAUCUAACUGCUGUAAUAUACCAAGCACAUCUCUGAUUUGUUAUAUCCUCAUAUCUUCUCAGUCCCGCAAGAAAUGUAAAAUUGUUUUAUUAUUAUUAUUAUUUUUUUCCCAAUUAAUUUGUGUGCAGUGCUUGUGACUUGCGAACACUGUUAAACCUUCAUAAUCUGUGAACACAGCAGGGUGUAUCAGGAAUGUGCUUGCUUACUGGAACUUAGGGGUAGACAAUAGUUCUUGUUGUCUGAGAUGUAGCUUGACAUCCAUUAUGGAACAACACUCAGAGCUUUCCCUUUGUAGGCAAUCUAGCUGUACUUGGAGGUCUCUUGGAGACCAGGGUACGUACAAUUGUCUGGCCUGAUGAAGGCCAUGGCUCAGAGAGCAUGACUUCAGUGCAGUAUAAAGUUUACUUCGCAUUGACUUACAUUGAUAAACAUUGUCUAAAAGGCCUGAUUUUAAAGUACUGUCCUGUUGUGGCAAAAUCUUUCUAGAAGACCUGUAAAGCUGUCAAGAUCUGAUAAGCCUGUAAGGAUUUUUGCACUGUUUAACAAAGAAAUAUCAUGGACCAUGAGGAUUGGGUUGCAGUGUAAAUAUUCUGUACUUGUGAUCAUUGGCUUUUGCACUUGAAACAAAUAGAAGUGAUGUGUGCAGGAAAGAAACAGAUUUUUUUUUUUUUUUCUGGUCUCAUUUAUGACUUAUUUAAAUUACGUACUGUUCAUAACUCAGAUGAAGGAGUUCAUGAGGGAAAAUUGUGGGAGGAAAGUAACUUCACUCUUAACAAGGGAGAAUGUUGACUUCAGUAAGAAAUGCUAGUCUAAGAGUGAGUAAUUUUCUUUUAAAAGUCAAAAAGAAAAAGAAACCAAAAACAAGCAAAAUAGGUAAUGGUGUUUAAAUGUCUUUCAAAAAAUCAGACAUUAUGAAGCUAUGAAAAAAAUGGGAAUAUUUUCUUGGAUGAUUCAUUUUUUUGUUGUUGCUGAAACCAUCUACAGCUAGUCCCUGUUACACUUUUGAAAGGAAGGUAGAUAUCAUAUGGUUGCACAAGGAGAUGAGUGAAAUGUAGUGCUCUUCAGUCAACUUUCCAGAAUGCCGAUGUAAUAUUGGGAACUUGUGUGUUUUCUAUCUAUCUAUCUAUCUAUCUAUCUAUCUAUCUAUUUCCUUCUGGAAUAAAUACAAAUGGUUUUACUUGCAUAGCUGAUAAAAAAAAAAUUACUUAGGAUUAUAUAGGAGGUUUCAGAAUUAUCGUCUUUAUAGAACUCUGUGAUCAUUUAAGAAACAGCUGGCUGUUACUAUGAGCUAUCUUUUAUAACCUGAUUUCCUUUUUCUUUUUAAUACAGAAGUAGGUAUAUGUGAAUUAGAUUCAAGGUGUUGUCUUCUUACAGAUAAUCAUAAUGAUUUUAAUUCUGAUUUGCAGUUCAUUUGUAGUUACUGUUGUACUUAUGCUGAAAAUGGAAGUUUAGCUGUGGGGAUACAAAGUUACAGCCUUGUAACAAUACUUAACACUAGGUAAUGGUGGAACUAGGUAGCAAACAUGGCCUUUACUGAGUGUUCAUCAGUGCUACUUGUAACUUCUUAGCUAAAAUUCAGGGAAAUAGGCAAAGUUAGAGCAUGAUAUUCUGGAAGCCUGCUGUGAUAUGGGUUUUAUCAUUUUCAACUUCAUGAUAAUUUAAUAGAUGGGCUUUCUUUUCUCUUCAGAAAAAGAAUUUUUUUUUUUUUUUUUUUUUUUUACAUUAAAUUUAGAAAAAUGGGCAGAAUACUUCAGGAGGAAUUGUUUUUGCUAGUUUCAAAAGAUGUAUGCUUGAAAUUCAUUGUGACUGAUGGGAGCAGAAGGUUCAUUCAAGAAGGCCUGAGUGAGCCUGGCCUCUGUUACACCAGCGAGUUUAGAAAGUUUCUGCCAUCAGCUGGGCUUUCCUAGUAAGAGGAGUGGGACCCAGUGAGUGUAGGGGACUGACUCUGGGAUAACAGCAAACUGAUGAGAAGCAGGGAAAGACCCGUCUCCUACAGUGAUUGCGUUCCUGACUCAUAUGCUGAGCAGCCCAGAAAAGCACUGCUGCAAGGCUCAAAGACCUGUGGGUUGGGUUCUGUGGUUUUUAGCUCUGUGACCAUGGUCAUAGCUGUAAAACGUGGCUCGUUUAUUUAACCCACGUCUCUGUGUCUCUGAAACUCCACUCUGGGUAAAGUUUGAAGUAAUUAACCAGUAACAGAUGCAAACCACAUUCAUGUUCAAACCAUAUGCUAUCCUUGUAGUUUAUCUGUGUUUCUUCUUUUGAAAAACAAUGAGGCCUGAAUGUAUAUUUUGUAAGUAUAUGGUUUCAGUUUUGCAUCUUAUUUUAUGGUUCCCAAAUAUAGAUAGCAAUGCAGUUUGUAUCAAGGUGUUUUGAAUAUAGUACCUGGCACAUUUCCAGCUUCUUUCUAAUCAGUCACUUAAAUAUAUAUAUAUACACAUAUAAGGAGUGUUCUGCAGAAACACUCCAUACAGCUUCAGUAUGGGACCAGAGUCUCUAGAGAUUGGGUGGUAGCUGUGAUAUUUAUUUCUGGAGAAGAAUUCCUUAGAACCUUGUUUUAUUGAAAAGAAAGUUAACGCUGAGAACUUUAAGUUUUAGAAAAGGAUUUAUAGUAGAAUACAAUUUCAUACUGAAGCUUCAGGAGAUAAAAGACUUAAAAAUAUAAUAAAAUGCAUACGUGUAUUAAAAAAAAAAAAAGGCAAAAAAACCCCAUGAUUUUCAGACCAAUCUUACUCCUGUUUUGUUGAUCAAGUUUGAAUGUUAGUAGCUUAGCAGCACUCAUGCAUGUUCACAGUAACAAAGUUGUUCUUACUUACAGGGGGCUGCACAGUAUUGGCCACAGUCCUGCAGUUUGGAAUGGGACAGGGAGGUGUUUUUCUGUACUGUGUGUAAAUGACAACUCAUUGUACUUAGAAUUUUACUUUUUGUGCAAGGCAGACAGACUUCUAGAAGUCUCCCUUUCAAUUCUCUUUUGCCCUUCUUCCAUGUGAAAGCUCUGCAGUUUGGCCUGAGGAAAAUAGGCUGCAAAAGAGGGUAUCAGAUUUUGCAGCCGUUUUAGUAGUGUGUUGAUGGUGCUCCUGAAUCCACCCUGAGGGAGCCAUUAGUGAUCUGUUAGCAGCUGGAAGGGGAAUAGUGAAGUUUCCUCAGCUCUCCAAAUCUAAUAGCCACGGGGCCUGAACCUACACUCCAUUGUAAAAUUCAAUUUCAGAUCUAUUGUAUUCAAAAUUAGCAACAAAUAAAGACAUGUGCUUAUAGAAUGUUAAGAGUUUUUAAACUUAGUUUAUUAAAAAUCUUGAAAUAUAAUCUUUUUUAACUGCCUGUAACAUUUCAUUUAAUAGCCCAGUGAUGAAAUCGUUUUCUUAUGGAUAAAUCUAAAUGUAAAAGUAGAAAAUAUUCCAGCUUCUUCUUCUUCUUCUUCUUCUUUUUUUUUUUCCAAAUAAACCUUUGAAAUUGAAGAAGAUGCAAAGAAAAGAUCCUUUAUUUCUUACCAUAUGUCCUGACUGUCCCCCCAAAAGCAUGUUAAAUUGCAUUAUAUAAUGGUAUAUAAUAAAUUAUAGCCUAAACAUCAGACAUAUGUAACUUAUAUUGAAAGGAAUAUGUGUAUGUGUUUUCAAUGGGGCAAGUGCUAUUGUCAAGGUAAGAGUAUGCUAGGAAAUUAUUUUUAAAUGCUGAAUGCUAGUGCACAAUAGAACAAUGAAGUUAUGUUCAAUGAUUAGAAAAUAGUAAAUUAUUACAACACACCAGUUAUUUGAAUUUUAAGCAGUCUUAUCUGACGUAGGUCAACACAAAGUGAUGGCAAAUGAAGAUUUUUAGCUCAAAAAUGAAAGAUUUUUUACACUGACAGCUAUCAAACACUGCCAAGUUUGUCUCUGACUGUACUAAACUAGUUGGUGUUUCAUACACAGAUAUGGGUGUUUGCUAAAGUGUUUUUUGACUCUGCCAUCAAUUGUCCCAGUUAAGAAUACCUCCUGGGGCCCCUGGUUCUCAGCUUGCCCACAGAAGGUGAAACUGCUUCACCUUCCUCUUCUCUCUCAGGCUAAGCGUAGGCUUUGUCUAGGGGAUUUUAAGUCUUCUUGUGAAGCCUUUGACUCAGUUUUGCUGCUGCAGUUUCCACAUUGUUCUUCUAGAGUUGGGGGGAGAGAUUCUUAGGUUUGGGUUUCUUCCAUCAUUACUGACUGACAGCACAUGGCAUUUUUAUUCUGCUCCUGAAACAAAUGUAGAAAGCAAGUAGUGUUUGAAAUAUUCCCAAGGUCUGCGAACAAGGCACACAAGGGGGCCAGAUUGGUGUGUUCUGUUAAAGAGGCUGAUCUGAAUUUUUGAGAUAAGUUUGUUUCCUCGCCAAAUACUUUAUUUAGUUUUUUUUGUUUGUUUGUUUGUUUUUUAAUCGAGUAAAGCCAAAGUAUUUUUUUAGCUUAGUGUAAUAUAUAAGAGAAAUAGGGAAGAAAAUUACAUGUGAAAACACAGCUGCUGUGAGUGACAAGAAUUGUGGAGAUUCAUACAUGAGCCCAAGUCCUGAGCUCAAGAUUGUAAAGGUGUUUCCCCUUCACAAAGAUUUGGCAUCGGGGCUAUAAGCUCCACAGUGGCCAGUGCUUCAAACCCAGCUUUUUAAAAUUCAGUGGCUAUUAGAAAAUGGAGCAUCCAAGUCAAGCAAAUUAUAACAAAUAAAAGUCAGGAGACAAUUUUUGUGACCGUUUGAGGAAGGCUCUUGAGACCGUCUGGAGUGUUUGUCUCAUAGCUGGGUACCAGUAGAUGUAUGGAUGGCAUGACCCAAAUCAGGGUCUGGCAGGAGAUGUUUUUCGCCUGUGUGUAGGCAGAAGACGUGGUAAGCAAUUGAGAAGGAAGGCACAUAACUAGUCUGUUGUCUGGUGCAGUUGCACCUUGUGAAUGGGGGAUAAUGAUGAGGAAGGAAGACUGAGCUUUGCCACACUGCUGCUGUUACUGAUGAAUUCUAUCAGAACAGUGAAUGUGGGGAGCCCUGUGAAGAUGAAAAGAGCAUCUGGGUUUGCAAGGAGUACAGGAGGAUUAUUGAAUUUUGAGGAGGCUUUCCAGACUUUCUGGAAAGCAAUGAGGAAAAACUGGUGCUAAGGAAUAAAAUACUGUGUAAGUCUGAGUGUGGGACCGACCCGUAUUUCCUUGCUCUAUCAAAUGGAAAUGGGUUGCAGCAACAGAGUCAGAAUUUUGAUGGCAUUGCAAAAUAGAUCUCCCAAUAACAUGUUCACGGUCUGUAAGAGUCCUCUUGCAGAACUGGGAACACAUUCUGGGUCACUUCCAAAAAAUAGAUCGGUGUUGGACUAUAAGGAGCAGCCUGUUUAGUUACAGCUGCCGAACAUAACAUAUGUGCUGACCUGCAUAUGGUAAAGCUAUAUUCAUCUGUGUUUCUCAUGGAAAUACUGUGAAUAUUGGAAGUGAAGCAGAAAACCUUCUGGAUUCAUAGUACAGUAAUUCUGAAAGGAUUUUUUCCACCAAGGCAGCACUGCCUUCAUGACUGCUCCUUAGGAAAGUUUAACACAGUUUGGAACUGUUUUUGCUUGUAGUCAAGAAAGCUAAAUCCUGUCUUAAGACAGCCAUCUAUCAGUAGACCAUGUUAGAUGCCAGACAGGCUGCAUGCAUGGUUUUGUCAGUUUUUAGACACUGGGAAAGGGUCAAAUUGUGGAAGAAGCUGUCAUAAUAGAAACUGUGCAAACGUAGUUUUAUGAUGUAGGCAUUUAGAUUUAUUUGUAAUGAGGUUAGAUACAUUUGGGUGAGUUACAUCUAACAGGGAAAGAUCAAAGGUGGUCUCUAUUGCUUAAAUUUACCCAGUUCUAAGUCUUAUUAUUAUUAGUGUGCUCUCUUGGCUUGCUUCUGGCUCUGUGGUGAGGCUGACCUCUGGAGUCAUAGAAUCCUGCUAUAGUCAGGGACACCUCCCUCUAGAGGAGGUUGCUCAAAGCCGGGUCCAGCCUGGCCUUGAAUGCUUCCAGGAAGGGGCCAUCCACAACCUUUCUGGGCAGUGCUCUGGAGCAUUUAUCCAUUCUGCCAUUUACUGUCACUUUACUUUUUCCCCUUUGGAGCUUCUGAGAUUUUUCCCACUUGGACUGAUGUCUGAAGUGAGCACAUGAUGGUGUUCCCUCUUCCUUUUGUCACAGCAGCUCAUGUAGCUGGGAGAGAUGAGAGAAACAGAAAAUAAGCAAUCUUAGCUAUGUUCUGGUGGUGACAAUUGCAAAGGUGGCAUUCUUUGAAAACAGUGUGGCAUGAAUCCUUACUGUGCUUAAGUGCCUCUGUGGCUGUAUUUGGGUUUUUGCUGUUUACCUUCUUUUAUAGCAGUGCAAUGUAACUGCUUGUUCACUUUCCUUAGACAUCUUUGUCUCAACACAUUGUAUGUGCAGUGUAGUUUAAAAACAGAAUGUUUUCAAGGGAUCCUGUUUUUAUUCCUCAUUUUUCAGGGGCCUGCUUUGUGACCUGGGGUACAAUCUAUGUCUGCUACUGAAGCUAUCUUGACUGGCAUGAGAAAUGUAAGAAUUUUGAAGAAACUUGGCCUGACAAAUAUCUGUUUGCACAUUUGGAUUUAUGAAAACUUCUGAUCACUCUGUGUCAUGGUCCCCUUCUGUAACAUAACAGGUAUACAAUGAUAUCUUUGACUUCAUCUCAUAAAGAUGAUGUGAAAAUAAAUCAUAUAAUCUUUGCAAUGCCUUUUGGUACUGCUGUGAUGAGCACUGUAAGAAAACCCACAAGCAAAUGAAUAAUUCAUUGUUUAAAUCAGGCUCUGAAUAGUACACAGUAAACAAGUCUUUCAUACUGAAUCGUAAAAGUAAGGCCAAAUAAUUAAUAAUUACUUAUUCAAUUAUCACUGUCCAUUCAGAGUACUGAUGAAGAAGAUGGGAAUCCCUGUGGAAAGACCAUAGUCAUGUCUUAAGGAUGGAGUAUUGUACGACUGGAAAUGAUAAUGUUGAUAGUUUGUUUUUUCUUUCUUUAUCUAAGACACCUUUGGUAUUAGUUAUGAUGUGUACUUUGGAUUAAAGAUGAAGUGUGUUAUUCUUUCUAAAUUGCUUGAAUUUAGUCUGCAGGUCUCCUUAUAGACCUUCACUUCUGUUUUCAGAAUUUCCUGUCUUGCCAUGAAUCCUUUUGCUAAUGGUGUUUAAGCAUCAAAAGAAGAGUAUAACACCAUCUCUGAUCAUUGCAGAAAAAUUCCUGAAUAUAAUUUUAAGAUUGAAUUUUAUCUCUUGAUAAUAAUUGCUCUUAAGAAAAAACUAAUAGAAGAGGAGAGUUAAACUCUUCUGCUGAGUAUCAGCUGGAUGACGAGAAAUUCUUUUUGGUAGAAUCACAGGUACAGGAAUAGCUUGUUCCAGUUUUCAACCUUGUGACCUUCCUUCAGAUAACUCUGAAUGUUCAGAUUUUAAGACUGAAAAAGAAAACAGAGAGGUAUUUGAAGCUCCACUACACAAAAAUGUCAAUAAUUCAGACUGACUGAUAGCUUCUCUAAUAACUAAAGUCACCUGCAAUUUUUUAUAGUCCUAGAGCAUAAGCCAUCUAUAACAUAUAAUCAGUUCCACUGUGAAGAUGGAACUGAUGUUUAUUUUUUCCUAUACAUUCCCUCCCUACUUCCUAAGGUGAAUUUUUAAAAAUCAAUUCACAUAAUUUGAUCAAUUUAAAAUACUGAAUACACUGAGGUAAUUAUAGCAAAGUUCUUGCAUCUUAUUGUGUCCAGUUACAGUAAGGCUACUUACUGACAGUGCAGCAUUAAAGAUAAACCAGCAUUUACAUGAAAACAGUCAUAAUUUACGUCUGCCAUUUUUAAGUAAGUCCUUUUAACUGAUUUUGAAGUAGUCUUUGCAAAGUGGUGAUUUAUAUUUUAAAAAUGAGGGCUUCAUCUCUUUCUCUGAAAAUGAUGCUUGAAAUCCGUAGGAGAGUGAAACAAGCAAUUUCAGUCACUAAAGAUAAGGUCUGUGUUUUUUAAAUAAAAGAGAGUGAAAGAGCUGUUGUUCUAAUUUAGCAAAAUUGUGUCAGCUCAGUUUUCUAUUUAUUUAUGGUAAAAUUCUGUUUCCAGAUUUUGAAUGCACAUAUUUAACAAGAUAUGGUCAGUCAGUAUGGUGGUGAUUAGUCCAAAAUUUGAUCAGGUUGUCACUUGACGCUCACUGGGCACUUUCAUAAAGGCCUUCAUUGAGAGAUCAUGAUCAGUACAAAGGCAUUUAAUGAAUAUUCCAUAACUGGGAAAAAGCCUCUUAAGGUCUAGAAUUUCAGAAAUACUGAAGUUUAAACAUAUAAAAAUAUCUUUGGGCCAACUGUUACUGUCACGUUCAGGUGCAGACAAUUUUAUAGCUUUUUCUUGAGAUUGCUACCCCCUAAUGAAUUUGUUGACAUUCCUAGUGAAAUUUGUAAGUAUAUUCUAUUCAUUUCAUAUUUAAAAGUAUAUUUUCUACUUAGAUAAAUAUUAAUGUAAGCCACACACAUAUUUAAAACAAUUUGGAAUGAUCAUAUACUCAUGUAGAUAAUGUAGAUAUACCUUAAGAAUGUUUUAUUUUUGUAUGAAAUUCCUGAAUUUUGAUUCACUACUGUAGAAGACUUCAUGAAACUCACAAGAGCCGAGUGUUCUUGGACAUUUGUGCUCUACCACUCUCAAUGUUCUUUUCUUCUUUGACUUAACAAUUUCUGUGCAAGAUCACUGUUCAAAUAUAUCCUAGAGGCAAGCACAGCUCUUGUUGAUUUAAUAUUGCAAUAAGUAUGAUAAAUAGCAGCUAUGGCAUACUAUUGUUUUCAAACGUGGUUUGGUUUUGUUUUUAAAGCAAACAGAUCUGUUUGAGACUUCUGGAACAAUCUGAAAAAAAAAAAAAACACUGGUACUUAAGAAUAGGAAGGCAAAUUUCAAUGAAAAGCUCUGCUAGAACAUUCAAGUGAUUGGAAGGAAAUAACGGAUCCAAUACAAAAGGACACAUCUGCAUUUUAGAAUUGUGGAGAAAUUGGAGCCUUAAGUACAAAAGGAAGCAGAUAAAUGUUUUGGAAGAAGGAGAAUUUCCUUCCCGGAUUCUAAAGCUGGCAAAGAUCAGUAAUCACACUUCUAUUAUUUUCUACAUCAGAGUAGGUAAUCUGUUAUAUUCUGCAUCAGUAUAAACUUAAAAAUGAUGGAUACAUAUUUCCAAAAGGUACCAAAUGUACCAAAUUAUUACAGAUUAUUAGAGAUGGUUGUUAGAUGCCAAUAUUUACUUCUUCCUCUGUCAACGUUUUCUUAGGAACUUAAGUAAUUUGAAAUCAGAGUUAGAAUAGAAUACAUAGCUGAGUUGACCUACAGAGGUCCUUAAGUUGAACUGCUGGACUGCUUUGGGGCUCAUACAAGGUUAAUCACAGACAGGCACGGGACAUCAACCACCUCACUAGGAAGCCUGUUCCAGUUUCUGAUCACCUUCAUGAUACACAGAUGUUUUCAGGCCCAGUCUGACCUUUCUCUGGUACAGCAUUAUGUUGUGUUCUCAUCCUGCCAUUGGUGACCAGGAGCAGAGCCUGGCAUCUCCCUCUGCUCCCCCUCCUCAGGGAGCUGCAGAGAGCAAUGAGGUAAUCUCUGGGCCUCCUCUUCUCCAAACUGGACAACCUAAGUUUUCUCCAGCCCUGCUACCAGCUUUCAUUCCUCCUCUGGACUCUUUCAAGGACCUUAAUACCUUUUUCAUUUUGUGGAACCUAGAACUCCAUACAAAAUUCAAGGCAGUGUCUCACCACAGCUAAAUACAAUCACCUCUUUUGACUGGCUGCUUGUGCUGUGCUUAAUGGCAACCCAAAAUGGGGUUUUCCCCUUGGCUGCCAGGACAUGCUGCUGACUCUUGCUGACUCUUGCUGAGCCUUCUUUUGGCCAGCGCUCCCAAAACCCUAUCUGCUGAGCUGGUCUCCAGCCACUAAUCUCCCAGUCUAUCUGUGUGUCUGGCACUGCUCCAUUCCAGGUGCUGCACCCAACAUUUUCCUUUCUUGAAUUUCAUGUCAUUGCUGAUGGCCCAGUGCUCCAACAUAUUCAGAUGCUUCUACCUUGCUGAUUAGCAUUAUCAGCAAGUUUGUUUAGGUUGUGUUCCACUCCUGCAUACAGAUCAUUGAUAAAAAUUUUGAACAGUACUGGUACUAGAACUGAGUGAGCCCUGGGGAACACCACUGGUGGCUGACCACUGGCCAGAUGUAGUCCCACUCACUAUGACUCCUCAAACUUUUUGUUCAAGCCAGUUCACAGUGAGUCCAAUACUUCAUCAAUCUCACAGCCAAGGAUAGAGUUCAAGGUUGGAGCAAAAAGUGUGAGGGUAUUUGAAACAACUUAUGGCCAGUGAUCUUAACAGACCAAAUGCCGGGUCCUACAUUUUGGUCUCAACAAGCCCAUGCAUCGCUACAGGCUUGGGGCAGAGUAGCUGGCAGGCUGCAUAGAGAAAAAAGAUGUUAGUUGACAGGCAGCUGAAUAUGAGCCAGCAGUGCGCCUAGGUGGCCAAGGUCAGUGGCAUCCUGGUUUGUAUCAGAAUAGUGUAGUCAGCAUCACUAGGAAGGUGAUCGUCCCUCUCCACUGGUAAAGCUGCACCUCAAGUACAGUGUUCUGUUUUGGGCCCCUCACUAGAAGAAAGACACCAAGGCCCUGGAGUAUGUCCAAAGAAGGGCAACAAAGCUGAUAACGGGUUUGAAACGCAGUCUUAUGAAGAGUGUCUGAAAAAAACUGGGAUUCUUUAGUCUAGGGAAGAGGAGGCUUGGGAGACCUCACUGCAUUCUACUCUACCUGAAAAGAAGUUGUAGUGAGCUAGAAGUUCGCCUAUUUUCCCAGGUACCUAGUGAUAGGACAAGAGGUAAUGGCCACAAGUUGAGCCAGGGAAGGUUCAAGUUGGAUAGUAGGAAACAUUUCUCAAGAGUGGUGAAGUAUUGGAACAGGCUGCGUGAAGGUUUUCAAGAAAAGGAUAGAUGUGGCAAUGAGAGACAUGGUUUAGUGGGCACAGGUGAUAGGUUGAUGGUUGGACUAGAUAAUCUGUGUGAUUUGUUCCAACUUUGAUGAUUCUAUGAUUCUGCAAUUCUUUGAUGAUAUCUGAAACUUAGAGGCAGAAGGCCUGAAGCAGUGCAUGCACCUUUCUCUUGUGAUGCAAGUAAAGACCUGAGUUAUGAACUGUGGACUUGGAGUUCUUUACGUAUUUACCCAGGGAUCUCAAAUCAUAUUAUAACGAAUGAAAUAAUCUUGAUCGCAAUGUGGAAGGUACCUGUAAGUACUAUGUACUUGUCUUAGGCAUGUAUGAGUGGAAAUAUAAAUCAGUCUGGCUUGUACUACAUGCAACAGUAAUAUCAAGAACAGAAAGAAAAUGUAUCUUUUCCACUCUUAUUCUGCUGAUCCAAGAGUGUAAGAAAGUUCACUCAUGCUUGCAGAAUUCUGCCUGCUGUCAACAGCACUUCUAAGAUGCGUCUUUAGCCUGCUUUCCAAUGAGAACAAGACAUUUUCUUGUUUUCCUCAUGCUCUUCAUCUCUUCAUUCUAAUAUUUCAUGGUCUUGGCUAAUUACUGGAGAGUUGGGCACAGCUGUAAGUGGAAACCCUAAAACUGUGAUAAAAUUGGUGACUGUCUUGAGGAAGAAGAUAAAUCAGUCCUUUCUGAGGGUCACAUGAGCUUACCUGGCCUCUAUUCUGUUUGAUCUGGGAGCUUGACAGCUAAGGACUUGCCAGAGCAGGGACUGUGCCUGUGCCCAGCCUCUGUGAAACAAGAUCACUGGGGAGACAUGGUAAUGUUAAGGUGGCCAGGAAUAAUAAUUAGCUAUACAAAUGGAAGGAAACUUCAAUUUUACUACUAAUACUGUUUACAGAAGAACUUGGAACUACUUUUCUGUCUCUAAUUAUACUGCUAGACUGUUUGGAAUUACAUUGUUAUAGUUUUCAUCAGCUGAUGAGUGAAAACUCCCAGAUUUUAUUUCCAUCCAUAUUGCUGAUAAAAGCAGAGAAUUAUUUACAGUAUUGAAGUUGAAGGCCACUGAAGAAAAUGUUUCUUUCAAUAAAUAAAUUGCAGCAUCUCAUACUCCAAGAGGUUUUUGUUUUUGUUUUAAUCUUCUAAGUAAAUGUCCUUUUCAGGGUUGGACAUUUUAAAUGAAUUUUUGUAUGGAUUUAGAAUUUUUGUUCUUUCUGCUAAGAAUCACAUAUGAAAUGUGUGAGGAAUGUGCACGACCAUGUCUGACUAAUUUUGUUCUUCAUGGGAGCACAGGAAGUAACUAUUUGGUGUAGAAAGAAAUCAGAACUGCAGAUCAGAAACAUCUCCCAGUCCAUUUGGAAAAAUAAAAUCCAGACUGUCCUCCUUCCACCCCUGCUGAAAAUAUGCUAACUUGGAUGUUCUUCAGUCUAAGCAAGCUCUCAAGGUCAUCAGAGUAAUUUUUCAAAGCCUUGCUGCCUCAGUAUUCUUACAGAUAAUAGCAUCAAGCACGUUAUCUCCUACUCUUCAAUUUUACUUUGGCUUCCUGAAAUUUACAUCCCAUUGUCCACUCAUAUUUUCUGCAUUCUUUUGGAAUAAAUCAAAUAGCACUUCUUAUGUUGGCUCUGGACUUAAUAAAAUUCAGACAUGCAGCAGUUGGGAUUUUUAAAAUAACACGUUUUAAUACAAAGAUGUGAGAUAUCUUUUGAAAUCUGUGGUGGAUGUUUGUUUCCUGCUGGGCUUAAUUUAGGAAUCCAGUGCUAGCAUUAAACCAAGGGGAAAAAUAUUUGUUCUUUCAUCUGUGUGCCACAUCCCAUCUGAAAUCACAAACAGCUUCUUUAAAUUUCUGGUCUUCAUCCCCAGCUGGAUGUACAUAACGCUCAUGCCUGUCUGAUGCAUGAGACAUAUAGAGCCUUAAAAAAAAAAAAAAAAAAAAAAAAGUUAAGCUAUUCUUAUUCUUCUCGUCUUAGACCUCAUAAUCAUCUGCAGUUUGGGAGAAGGUGUAGCUCUUUCAUUUUCUAAAGAAACCUCUUCUUAUCAAACCGAAACUCCUGAUUUUGUUAGAAAACAAUAUGCAGGUAAUAAUGCUUUGACAAUAUAUAACUUCUUUGUAGAAGGGGAUCCUUUCCCUUCUUUUAAUAUUUUCUUUGAAUAUAGAAGAAAGUAUCUUCAGAUGUUUCAAGGACAAAAUUUAGGAGUGUUAAACCCGAAUGUGAAUCUCUGUAUUCAGCACCUGCUCCUGUAGUUCUCAUAACCUGUACCAUACACCUUGUAGAAGGACUUCUGGUUUUGUGCAAGCUUGUGUGGGUUCAGCUGUUCACCUGCUUAGAUCCCAUCGAACAGCUAGGAAAGCCUUUCCUUUUCGUUUGGAAAAGGUCCAACUUUGUUCAAAAAUCAUCUUGGGCCCAUUGUGCUAUAAUAUAGAUUAGACAUGAAAAGGGUAUGUUAAAAAAUGUUAUUAAAUUGUAAAAUGAAACACUGAAAAGUUGGAUGCUAGAAUCAGUGCUGGCCCCGUAAUCUCAGUUGGUACCUUGCAGGUAUGACUUAUGAUACAGAUUUUAGCUGUAGAUUUGAAUCUUUUCUCUGUAGUUUCUCUGCCUCAUUUACAUGUGUCACCUUCUAACCUCUCCCUCCCUCAAAUGGAGAGCAGUCUUUAAACUGAUGAGUUAUUUGAUGUUUUGUUUUCUCUUUAUUUGGUGCAUGAGGAAAUUACAGUUACUGAAUGCUGUUCCAGCCCUGAUAUGAGGGCAAAAUAAUUAAUUUUUCCUGCAGUUCUCUGUGGUAAUUGGCCAGCUGUGGAACAGAGAUCCUGUGUGAUGUGACAAUGACAUUUUAGUUGUGAUUGCAAGGAAAACCAUGCAGAUUUAGAGAGUUUAGAUAUUGAAAUUUAAGUUAUUUUUAUAAGGUAUUUGUGCAGAUUAUUAUUUUCUGCUGGCUAAAGAGAUCUGGGAAAAUUCUGAGUAAACAAGAGGGUGUGUUCAUGACACGACAGACCUUUCAUUGAUACAUUGCCAGUUCCUGCUCCGAAGCAAGUGUGAUCUAAAACUUCCCAAGGGAAAAGCCAUUAGGAUUUAAUACAGCAUACUCUUCAAUUCAUUUGUUUGCGAAAACUAGAGUUCAUGUUUAUAUGAAAGGAAAAUUUCAGCCUAAACAGUUUAAUUUUGCUGGAAAUGGAGUCUGUAGCUAAAAAUAUCUGGCCCACUUCCUCAUUGGAUAUGCUGCUUAGAUUAUUUAAGUAUUGGUUUUGUGCAAGGCUGAAAAAUUCCGUUAACACCCUGACUUAUUUACUUUUUUCAAAAUAGCAUGUUGUUAGCAUGUUAAAAAUGUUCCACAUGUAGUGGACAAUAGCCAGCUGUGCUGUCCCAGUAAGAGUAUGGCAGCUACAACCAUCAGUUGGGAUGGGAUGGGAUAGAAGGUAAUGAGGCUGUGCUUUGAACCUAACUUGGAUGUGCUCGCUACUGAGCUAUCUGUCUGCGUGCAAGGAUUUAUGGACAUGCGUCUGUUCUUAAUUGCCUUCUGUAAUUCAUCUGCAUGUGUCCUAUAUAAGCUUUUUUAGGGUGCCCAGCAACAGAAAGAAAAUUAAAAUUAUUCUACAGCAGAGAGUUCAUUUUUAAAAUGACUUUGUUUACUCAGUGGUCUUCAAAGCUAGCCUUGUCCAUAGUGAUUUAAUGUUUUUUUCUCAACUCUCUUCAAAGACCCUAGACUUUGGCUAACACUGAAUAUAAAAAAUAAAUAAAUGAAUGAAUAUUUUGUUAGAGAAAAUAUUGACCUUUCUUGAGCUUGGUCUUGCAAAAGCAAGCUUUGGUAUCAAUCUUUAGCUAAUUGACUGGAAAGGAAUCUUUAGCUAAAGCUGGAAAGGAACUAGUGUGGUUGAGCCAUUGUAUGACUAUGAGAGGAGAGAGCACAUCCCAUCUACAACAAGGAGAGGGAGAGUUGUCUUUUUGCAGUCUCUUUGAUAAGUUAAAGAAAUACAACAGAGCAGGGAAAAUUCAGUUUGAGUACAAGUAUAUGACAGAAUGAACUAAGUAAUGAUCUCAGUGACAUGGCACUGUAUCUGCCAGAACAUUCUGCUGAUCUCAUGUUGAUAUGUUCACCAUUUAUGUGAAGAUGUGAUUUCUCAUGAUGAUAGUGAAUCUCAUGUAGACAGUAUUUCACCUAUUCAGAUCCUAAUGUAAGCAUCAUGAAUGAGCUAUUCAAUAAUCAGUUCUCUUUCUUAUCAGAGCAGUAAGUUGUCACAAAGUUAAAUUGCCAAAUGAUGAGUUAUCAUCAGUAUACUAUCUCCACUAUGGUGUACAGUUAGCCAGCUUUGCUACUGUCAAUAAGAUAAUGUCUGAAAAUUGAGCUAAAGUUGGACACAGGAUAACUCAGGAACAUGAAGAUGACCUCUGUUUAUUUACAAAAAUAUAAACUGAUCUAUCUUAAAAAAAGCAAAAAACAACAACAGCAAAAAACAUUUUCUGUUACUGUCUUUUGAUGUAUUUUGAUGUAUCUGUUCAAUCAAAACAGUCUUUUUGAUUUUGUUCUAUUUUCUUCUUCUUUUCUUCUUCAAGAAGAAAAUCUUGUAGGCUUGGGGUAAACCUUUCAAAAAUGACAAAUUGAUUAAAGACCUUAAGAACCAAUAUUUUGUACAGUGUUUAGUCAGCGAAAUCUCCUUUGCUUCAUCCCAGACAGACAAAUGUUUCUGAGCACACUGUGGUUCUGAAGGAAGGUCUUAAAAGCUAAAAUGUUUUGGGAAUUUUGAAAAUGCUACCUUCAAGAUUUGCUGCUCUAAUGGCAGCAAAUUUUAGGCAGUGAGAACAAGAUAAUGUAGUCCUGGCUGUGUUCACAUGUACAUUCAUUUAGUUUAGUUGGAGGACAGGAAAUGAGUGGCUAAGUACAGGGAAAGACAAUGUAGACAUUUUUCCCUGAUACAAUCUUCCAUUUUUUUCUUAUACCUUGUGAAUUAUCAAAGUACGUACUGUGAACUACAUCUGGCAUUAUUGUGCAAUAGAGCUUCAGUGUCCUGUGCAAUACAGCUUCAGUGUCCUGUAUUUUGGAAAAAAUAUUGGUGUGUGCAUGGUUCCAGUAGUUAUUUUUACUACAGCAUUUCCUACACUUAGAAUGGGAUACUCACAGGCAAACUUAGCUCAUGUGCAUGAAAAAUACUUUGUUUUUCAUGAGCGCAGACUACAACUUUGUUCAUACCUGACUUUUUUUUUUUUUUUUUGUAUUACACGUUUUCUUAACUUAAAAAAAAGCUGUGAAUUCUUAGUGUCAGUUUCUCAAAUGGUGGUAUUUUGUCCUAGUAAGGUACUUUCUUUUUUUUGUGGGCUAACGGUUGUUGUUAUGACGUAUAUUCUCUCUCCCAAAACUUUACUGCUCAUUCCUUUGAUGUGUCUUAUAAAAGUCCGAAGAGAGACAAGAACAUACUUGACUCUCAUGUAGCUAUACAUAAAGCCAAAUUUGACCAAAAUGAAACUAGCAGUAACUGCGCUUCUUUAUUUUAAUGUGAUAUUUACAUAAUACAUUAGGAUAUUUUGCUAACAUUUCAGAUAUUUCAGUUUCUCCUCAUCACUGUUACUCUUAAAACUGUUUUUGUAGAUUGUGCACCAGUAAACAGAAAAGGCAUCAAACUUUCAAAUGCAAUCUAUACAGCGGGAAUAUUUUUCUAUUAUGUUUCAACAGAAGAAAAAAAAUUGGCUUACAGCCCCUUAUUUUCUUUACAAGUACAAAUAUAGUUCAUGCUCAUGUUUUGUCUGCAGUGAAAUAAUCCAAACUGUAUAGUUCAAAUGCACAAGCUGCCCCCAUAUGUCCCUUUGAUACUUGCUAGCUGCUACUUUGUGUUAAGUUGGUAUCCAGAUUGACUGAAAUAAUUAAUAAGGCCCAUACAUAACUACUGGUACAAAAUAAGGAAACUUGAACGUGUGUUUUCAUGGACCUGUAACAAAACCUCACAGCAAGAUAGAGACAGUGUGCAGAGUUCACUAGUCAGCAGUGCUGAGGUCCAGAUUCUCAUGCCCAUGAGCAGAGACUUUGUUGGAUGACAGAUGAACCUGGAGGUACAUACUCUAUAGGAGAUGGGAAAACUUAGCAAUACGUGUAGGUCAGCUUUGCUCUGGGGCUAAAGCCAGGCUCUUGGAAGAGCCGUGCGUUCAUGGGCAUAGGGGAAAUUUUACACCAAGCCACAUUUCCUCUGUUCUCAAGGUAUUUUUUUGGCAGGCUACAGCAAAAUAGCUUAAACUUGGGUAUGGAUAAAUUCAGAAAGCUUUUACUUCAAAGCAGUCUAUAAGUGAAAAAGAAUACUGUAGAGCUGAAAAACUGAAUACUCUGCUGAAAAUUACUAAGACCUUCAGGAACAAUGCUGAAUGUGUGUGUAACUUAUAAAUGACUUUUCAGCUGAACAGAAUUGUGUAGCUGAAGUAAACCACUGUUUUCUAGGUGAAAUGGUAGGUGAUAUUUCUUCCCGCCUAUCAGAACUGAAAAAAGUAGUGCAUCUUAAGUUAUAGUUGAGGAACGAUAUGCAACUUCUCUGGUUUCCUUAAAAAGGAAAGGGUAGGAAUCAGAAAUGACUCUGCUUAUCUAGAACGAUUAAGUCCAAUCCUCUUAACUACACUUUAACUUGAUUCAGUCAGUCCCAUUCUUUUCUGCAUCAACGUGCUCUGCUAUCGGCCUUCAAGCAGAUUUUUAAAAAAGGUUCUACAAAACAUUGUCGUUUAUUCAUUAACAAUAAUUCUUUGAAUCCUUUUCUUUUUGGCAUCUUUUUGUCCUUUGAAUUUAAAGAAAUUUAAGUAUAGAUAUCAAUAUAUUUAUUUAUAUAAGCAUUUUGCAUGAACAUUUUGGAGAAAUUUAAAUUAAUGGCCAAAACUUUGGUAUUCCUUCCUAAGAAUUCCAGAUGCUUUGGAUAUAAUGUGUUGCAAGAAUUACAAGUACCUAUGCUAUUUUGGUAUGUGCUUUGUAGGAUAUGAUAUUAGAGAAUAAAUGGAAGCCAUCUUGAGGCAUGCAGGAUGCAGAAUUAGUGUUGUUAUCGAAUAAAUUAAGUCUUUAGUUUUUGCAAACUUUUAGUCCUGUACCUUGUCUUCUUGGCACUUCUGAAGUCUUUGCUUUGAAAAUACAGAGACUGCAUAUUAGCAUAUAAUACAGAUUUCUGCUUAAAGUUGGUUUAAUGGUUGUUGUUUAUUUUUCUUCCCAUUGCUAUAAGUUUACUUUGUCUUGAACUCUAAAGCAUUGCUCAUUCUUUGUGUUCUUUCUGCCUUUUCAAUGGAAAAAAUAGGUUGAAAGACAAGAGAAGAAGUUGGCUGUCUCAAAAGAACAAAUAAGAAUUCUCUGACUAGCUUUAGAUUUUUUUACGUACCUGUGCGAACAGUAUUAUGAAGUAAACACAGAAAUAAAAAGUGAGAGAAUAAGCUAGCAAUGUAUUUUCAACUGAUACAAGUUAUUCUUCAGAUUUAGUCCAUUUAAACAGUUUCCUUAAAUGCUGGUGUAGUAUAGAAUGGUUGUUUAUAAGUAUGCACAUGUACUUAAACCCAAUAACUGUCAAGCAUUUGCAUGUUAAUGAAGUGUUACAGCUCUGAGCAGUGGCUAGCAAGCAGGAGCUGUGGCGAUAGGAUUUAUUUUAAGGAUCUCAAGUAAACUGCCAUUAAAUGUAAAUAGAGAAUACAGCUCCUGUUGACUAGCAGAGACACUAUUUGUUACGGACUCUUUUUUUUCUUUUCUUAUAUAUUAUAAGAAAAGUUAUAAUAUUAUAAUAUUAUAUUAUAUCUGUAUUCUUAGCAGAUACACAACAAAGUUCUUGCUGUCUCCAACCUUUUCAUUUUUUCACCAGAAUAAAUCUCUACUGAGGAUGUAAAUGAAUACCCUUCUUUCUCAAACAGACAGCAGAACUCAUACGGGAAUAAUUAAGUCUAAUACAGCUCUCUUAGUGUCAUCAACUGAAUGAAUCUUGGAUUCAAAGUCCCGGAUGAGUUCCUAAGCUUUUUAAAACUAAGCUUCUGGACUGAAAUCAUAUGAGUUUUAAAUUCUGUUUUCAUUGGAAGAUCAAAGAAAAUACAGUGACAUUAAUGUUUAUUUUUAUUUGUAUAUCUUCUGAAAGAAAUUUGUGUAUUUAAUAGCACGCAUUUUCUGGAUGAGAUAAGGAAGGGAAAGAGGGAUGGUUUAUUGGGCCUAUAUGAAGAGUUGUCUGUAGGGCUGGCAAAAUCUUCUAGAGUUUGCUUAUCCAUAUAUUUAUUCUACAGAAGAUUUUUUUUGUGUGACCUGAUAAUACUGAUUUGAGAUUUCCUCGUGGGCUGGAUUCUAGAUGGAUUGCUUGGUGUCAAUAUUUGUUUUAUUUUGUGCAAAUUUUGAAAGUGUGAAAUUUUUAAAAACUGUUGUGAAGAGCUUGACUUAUAGCCAUCUUGUAGGCCCAGGACCUGCUGUUACAGCCCUGAAGAUGUCCUGCCUCCUAGCUGAACAAGCUCUGAUCCCUCAGUUUCUCACAGUGCUCCAGCUCUCAGCCAUCUUGGCAGCCUUCCACUGACUUGCUCCUGCUUUUUGAUACCUGUGUUGGCUUGGAGAGUCCCAUAAUGGGCUAAGUUUGGAGCCUAAUGACUUCUGAGUAGAAGGGGAUAAUUACUUCCCUUUGCUGUGCUCUGGCUCAUCCAGCCCAGAAUGUUGUUUGCCUUCUCUGCAUCCAGAGCUCACUGUUGUCUUUUGCUCAACUUGUGGCCCACCAGGACACCCAGUCUUCCCACAGAGCUGUUCCCCACCCAACCUGUCCCAGCCUGUAUGGCUGCAAGAGUGCAGGGCUGUGCAUCUAUCCGUCCUGAAUUCAGUGAGGUUUCUGUUGCUCUGUCCCUCCAGCCAGUGUAGGGUCCUCUGGAUGGCACUUCUGCAUUUCUCCAGGCAAAAGGGAUCUCUGCUGAUUUCCAUGACUUUUCAAAGACCAUAGAGAGAAGUCAUGCUGUGAGAGCAACCACCUUUUUUUACAUCACUGGACAGGCUGUAGUAGGACUGCGUGCAGCAGUGCUGAAAUGAUGGCUGCUUCUGCUGCCCUGAGGAAGAUCAGAAGUGAAUUAUUGUUUGUUAAUUAAAGAAAAAGUUGAGAUCUCUUCUUGCUUGUUGAAGGUGGUGAGCCUAUGCAGCCAGGCUCCAUGAGGAGCAAGCUGUGCUCAGUCCUGGCUGCAGGCAGGUCCUCUGAUCAUUUCUGUGGGAACAAGCGUUGGAUCAGCAAAUGUGAUGUAUGUGAGAAUAACAACACACAAGUAUUGACAUUCUGGAAACCUGAGCUACUUCUGUGGUUGCAAACUGUCUGCCUUCAGCUGCAUGUCUUAAGUUGCACUCAAGGAAAAGAUCGAACAGAUCUCCUGCUCUGCCUUUUAAGCCUAUUGUUUGUAGGGAACUAAGAAGUGCUUUAAUGCAUGGCAUAUGAGAUAACACUGCUGUAGAGAUGCUGAUCAACCAGAGCUUAGUCCAGCCUCUCUGUUCUACUUACACUAAGUGCUAUGGCCAAAUGAUGCAUUUGUUAACUCUUUGCAAACUUAGGACAAGGAUUGCCAUUCUGGCAACUCCCAUAAAGGAGAAGACUCCUACAAAACUUGGGGAGUGGUAGUAUUAACAGUAUAAGUUUUAUUUCCCUAUCCCCUUUUUUUUCUGCCUUCCUUCAAAAAAUCCUAGCUCAUCGUAAUUAGUAAUGCUGUGCAAAAAGCUGUAUUAAUUCAGGCAAAAAGGAAGGGGAAAAACAUUACAGCACCAUUGCGUUCAACAUUAUUUUAAAUGUCAGACCAUAGAACCUGGUUGUCAAGAAUCAUCUUCUAGCAUGAGGCCAGGCCUACAAUCAGUGACAAUUGAACUUUAAAAUUGUGAAUCUACUGUCCCUUGAAUGUGGAUUUAACUCUUCUUGAUAUGUAGAUAAUGGCAAAAUUGUUCUUUAAUCUGUGAGCAGCAGCCAAAUUUCUUCCUCAUUGGCUACUUACUAGAUGGACUUCCUUUAAACCUUUUUGUUUUAUAUAAUUCCGGUCAUUUUUGUGUAUUGCGAUUUAAUUACACAAGAAAUAUAAAUGAAUUUAACUUUCAGGAGGAGGUGUGAAUAAAGAGUUUGCAUCUGAGAAGAGGAACUUAGCAUCAUGCCUAUUAAGCAGCAGUAGGAUGAAAAUCUCAGUGUGCCUGACAGCAAC